UAGAUUAAAAAAAUGAAUGAAUAUUUAUUCAGAAAUGUGCCAAUAAACACUAAAAGACAACAAUAAAAAACCUAAACCCAAAAUGCUAUAAGAAUUAUCACUGAACUUUAAGAUUCAGCAUGCUAGCUAUGCUUUAGCAGACAAAUUAUCAGAUAUAUUUGAGAUAAAUAAGCAAGUAGUGUGCGGUAAGUAAACCAAAACAUCAAACUUAAAUAAUUAUACUAUAUAUAUAUUCGCAUUUUACUUACUGAGUUAGUGGCAUAAGGUGUGGUUCAGAUUUAUGAUACGAAGGGGUGCGGUUUACAAAAAAAGGCUAAUUCCCAUUGGUCGCUGCCUGUUAGUGUAGCAGCGCUACCUGAAGCAGGUAGGCAAAUAAAGACAGACCUGAGAAAGAGGAUUCACACUGCCUGCUCAUCAUGACUGGACUCAAGAGCACACUGGGACCAACUAAAAACGUUCAAGACCUUCAUACUAAAGGUUUAGGCCUUUUUGUUUUUGCAAGGUUUAACAGAAAACAAUUUCUGACUUUUUGUUUGUUUAGCACCAAGUUGGAUCUAACUCUAUGAGCAAGGUACAGAAGAGCUGCGGAAGCCAAAAUGCGGUUUUAUCUGCUCUGUGAAUUCUAUCCUUCAUUCCACCGGAGUCUGUGUAGAUGUGCAAUCAGAUUUCAGUGGUGUGAAGUGUAGGAGACAUGGAAAGAUCACUUUUUCCACUUUUUCCUGUUUCGUGUUAUCAGAAAAACAGCACAGUUAUAAGCGCACAGCGACAGUUCCACACAACAUGGCAUGUUUGUUCAUUUGCUGUUGUGGAGAGAGCCAAGGCGGGCUAGGUACACACACACCCACACAUAGCAGACUCACAAAGCCUGCCAAGAUGUAUUUAUGUAUGCUGGUUCAGCCUUUAUCCUCUCAACCAACACUAAUAAACUCACUUUACAAAAAAAAAAUAAUUUGA
ensembl:lncRNA